rnacentral:rRNA from 1 species
AUUGAACGCUGGCGGCAUGCUUUACACAUGCAAGUCGAACGGCAGCGCGGGCUUCGGCCUGGCGGCGAGUGGCGAACGGGUGAGUAAUGCAUCGGAACGUGCCCAGUAGUGGGGGAUAGCCCGGCGAAAGCCGGAUUAAUACCGCAUACGACCUGAGGGUGAAAGCGGGGGACCGAAAGGCCUCGCGCUAUUGGAGCGGCCGAUGUCGGAUUAGCUAGUUGGUGGGGUAAAGGCUUACCAAGGCGACGAUCCGUAGCUGGUCUGAGAGGACGACCAGCCACACUGGGACGGAGACACGGCCCAACACCCCAGGGGGGGGAGGAGGGGGGAAUUUUGGAAAAGGGGGGAAACCCUGACCCAGCCAGGCCGGGUGGGGGAAGAAGGCUUUCGGUUUGAAAACCUGUUUUGUUGGGGAAAAAACCCUUUGGGGUAAUCCCCCGGGGGGAUGACGGUACCGGAAAAAAAAGCACCGGCUAACUACGU